rnacentral:rRNA from 1 species
GACGGAGGGGGCGAGCGUUGUCCGGAAUCACUGGGCGUAAAGGGCGCGUAGGCGGCCCGGCAAGUCAGUGGUGAAAGCCCGAGGCUCAACUUCGGGUCGGCCGCUGAUACGGCGGGGCUCGAGUCGACUAGAGGCAGAUGGAAUUCCGGGUGUAGCGGUGGAAUGCGUAGAGAUCCGGAAGAACACCGGUGGCGAAGGCGGUCUGCUGGGGUUGAACUGACGCUGAGGCGCGAAAGCGUGGGGAGCAAACAGG